GAAAACUCAGCGACGCAGAACUCCUCGAUGCCAUCGCAGAGCACAUCCGUUCGACGCCAUCGCAGAACUCCUCGACGCCAUCGCAGAACACAGCCAUUGCCGUGCAACCUUUGCCGUCGCCUCCUCCUCCUCGUUGCAGUGCAGCCGUGUUGAACCCUCCUCCUGAUUUGAAGGUUGAUGACAUUCAUCUUACUGAUGCCUGCAAAAUUACUCCGGCAAAAUUCUGUGGCUCUAAAGAAGUUGUGCCACUCUACCUUAGAAAGGAAGGGCAAUUGGGUCAUUGUCCAUCGUAUUAUAAACCGUUCAAGCAUACACAUACCAAACAACAUGACGGGCAAACAUUCAUAGCUGAAAAAAGCCAAACAAAUUCAUGAAUAAGUUGCAUUGCAAUGCGAGAUGUUUGCAGAAAAUGGGGAGCAUGUGGAUGAUAAUCAAUUAUACUAUGACGCGGUUGGUGGACACGACAAGAAAAGAAGAGUUUAUGGACUUUGUUCAUAUGGUUGUUCUGUUGCUAAUAUUCUCCUUACGCAACAACGACUUGAUGCUAUUGAUGGCGGGAGAGCGGGUACUUCAUCAUCACCUCCAUCUCAAAUCAAUUGAUUUUAAUGGUUGUUUGUUAAGACUAUUACAAUGUUGUUUAGACUUAAAUUGACCAUUAUUAUGUAUUAAAUGUAGAUUGAUAAUGUAUUAUUAUGUUGUUUAGAUUUGAAUUGACUAUUAUUAUGUAUUAAAUGUGGAUUGGUAAUGUAUUAUUACUUCAACUUAAUGUAGAA